GACGAACGCUGGCGGCGUGCUUAACACAUGCAAGUCGAACGGAAAGGCCCUGCUCUUGUGGGGUGCUCGAGUGGCGAACGGGUGAGUAACACGUGAGUAACCUGCCCUUGACUUUGGGAUAACUUCAGGAAACUGGGGCUAAUACCGGAUAGGAGCUCCUGCUGCAUGGUGGGGGUUGGAAAGUUCCGGCGGUUGGGGAUGGACUCGCGGCUUAUCCGCUUGUUGGUGGGGUAGUGGCUUACCAAGGCUUUGACGGGUAGCCGGCCUGAGAGGGUGACCGGCCACAAUGGGACUGAGAUACGGCCCAGACGCCUACGGGAGGCAGCAGUGGGGAAUAUUGCACAAUGAGCGGAAGCGUGAUGCAGCAACGCCGCGUGCGGGAUGACGGCCUUCGGGUUGUAAACCGCUUUCGCCUGUGACGAAGCGUGAGUGACGGUAAUGGGUAAAGAAGCACCGGCUAACUACGUG
rnacentral:rRNA from 1 species